rnacentral:rRNA from 1 species
UACGGGGGGGGCAAGCGUUGUUCGGAAUUACUGGGCGUAAAGGGCUCGUAGGCGGCCAACUAAGUCAGACGUGAAAUCCCUCAGCUUAACUGAGGAACUGCGUCUGAUACUGGAUGGCUUGGAUUUGGGAGAGGGAUGCGGAAUUCCAGGUGUAGCGGUGAAAUGCGUAGAUACCUGGAGGAACACCGGUGGCGAAGGCGGCAUCCUGGACCAAUAUUGACGCUGAGGAGCGAAAGCCAGGGGAGCAAACGGG